rnacentral:rRNA from 1 species
AUUGAACGCUGGCGGCAGGCCUAACACAUGCAAGUCGAACGAGUGGCGGACGGGUGAGUAAUGUCUGGGAAACUGCCUGUUGGAGGGGGAUAACUACUGGAAACGGUAGCUAAUACCGCAUACCAUCGGAUGUGCCCAGAUGGGAUUAGCUAGUAGGGGGGGGAAAGGCUCACCUAGGCGACGAUCCCUAGCUGGUCUGAGAGGAUGACCAGCCACACUGGAACUGAGACACGGUCCAGACUCCUACGGGAGGAAGCAGUGGGGAAUAUUGCACAAUGGGCGCAAGCCUGAUGCAGCCAUGCCGCGUGUAUGAAGAAGGCCUUCGGGUUGUAAAGUACUUUCAGCGGGGAGGCGUUACCCGAAGAAGAAGCACCGGCUAACUCCGUGCCAGCAGCCGCGGUAAUUC